rnacentral:rRNA from 1 species
GACGAAGGUGGCAAGCGUUAUUCGAAAUCACUGGGCUUAAAGGGUGCGUAGGCGGACAUGAAAGUGUUUUGUGAAAUCCCCCGGCUUAACCGGGGAAUUGCUUGGCAAACUCCAUGUCUUGAGGCAAGUAGGGGUGUGUGGAACUCUUGGUGGAGCGGUGGAAUGCGUAGAAAUCAAGAGGAACGCCGAAGGUGAAGACAGCUCACUGGACUUGUACUGACGCUGAGGCACGAAAGCGUGGGGAGCAAACAGG